GACGAACGCUGGCGGCGUGCUUAACACAUGCAAGUCGAACGGAAAGGCCCUGCUUUUGUGGGGUGCUCGAGUGGCGAACGGGUGAGUAACACGUGAGUAACCUGCCCUUGACUUUGGGAUAACUUCAGGAAACUGGGGCUAAUACCGGAUAGGAGCUCCUGCUGCAUGGUGGGGGUUGGAAAGUUUCGGCGGUUGGGGAUGGACUCGCGGCUUAUCAGCUUGUUGGUGGGGUAGUGGCUUACCAAGGCUUUGACGGGUAGCCGGCCUGAGAGGGUGACCGGCCACAUUGGGACUGAGAUACGGCCCAGACUCCUACGGGAGGCAGCAGUGGGGAAUAUUGCUCAAUGGGCGGAAGCCUGAUGCAGCAACGCCGCGUGCGGGAUGACGGCCUUCGGGUUGUAACCCGCUUUCGCCUGUGACGAAGCGUGAGUGACGGUAAUGGGUAAAGAAGCACCGGCUAACUACGUG
rnacentral:rRNA from 1 species